GCAGACAUAGUUUAAUGGUAAAACUUGGGCUUCCCAAGCCUACGUCGCGAGUUCGAUUCUCGUUGUCUGCUCCA
rnacentral:tRNA from 1 species